CGACACCACACAAGAAAAGACACGCAGGACACGAACAGAGAGACAAAGAUAACACAAAAUCCUAACGGGCGUAACUACCUGGAAGCUCUCCCCAGGUUCAGGUCAAGGUCGGUGCCCCCUCUAUCCCUCCCUCUCUCUAAUCAAUUCGAAGCAAACGCAACACGCGCCACCGUAGCCCCACCACCAACCCCCUCCCCUGCCGUCACAUGGAGCGCAGCUUCCCUUCACCGCCUUACUGUUUCUCUCCUUGGAUUUUGCCCGAGCACCUUGUCGGCAUGUGCCCCCCAUACCCAUAUAAGCUCCCCUGCACGCUCCGCUCGCCGACCACUUUCGUCUCUCCGUCGUCGCACACAUUUGGUCGCUCAGUGUGUGUCUCUCUUUCUCUGUCUCGUGCUUCUCGCUGACAAAGGCGAAAGAAUCGAUGGACCCAGAGGACGAGCGAUGCCCGGAACCUCCUCCUGGUUCUUCUGGGCGAGGAGGAGGUGAAGGCAAGGCUCCUGCUGGUGCUGGGUCAUCGUCGUCGGCUGCGUUGGAGUCCGAAACGCUGCCGUCCGUGAUGGGUUCGGAGGCAUUGCCUUCUGGGUCGUUCUUCGAUAUGGAGAACGUCGGCUUCUCGGGUUCUCUUUCGCCUCUCAUGGAGUUCGAGGCAUUCUCUCCUCUGAACCCGUCCUCGUCAUUCGACUUGUUCGAGUCAAAACCGGAACCUGUUUUUGAAACAACCCCUGUCGGGCCUCCUUUUAGUACUAGUGCAGCAGAAACAGAGGAGGCGGGAUUUCCGGUGAGAGGCGGUGACAUGGAGACUGCUGUCGGUGCUCCUCAGCCUCUGGAGUGCCUGCAGGGUACUCCACUCCCGCCGUUUCUUUCGAAGACCUUCGAUUUGGUCGAUGACCGAUCGUUGGAUCCGAUUAUAUCAUGGGGGUCGAGCGGCGAGAGCUUUGUGGUGUGGGACCCCGUCGAAUUUGCCAGGAUUAUACUCCCACGGAAUUUCAAGCACAACAAUUUUUCCAGUUUUGUUCGGCAGCUAAAUACUUAUGGUUUCCGCAAGAUUGACACUGAUAGAUGGGAGUUUGCUAAUGAAGCUUUUCAGAGAGGGAAGAGGCAACUUCUAAAGAACAUUCAAAGACGCAAGUCGCUCCAGACACAGCAGAUUGGAAGCUACUUUGGACCUUCCAGUGAAGCAGCGAAACCUGGGUUGGAAGUUGAAGUGGAGAUGUUAAGGAAGGAGAAGAGUAUGUUGAUGCAGGAGGUAGUUGAACUGCAGCAGCAGCACCGUGGAACAGCUCAUCAUGCAGAAGCAGUAAAUCAGAGACUUCAAGCUGCUGAGCAAAGACAAAAGCAAAUGGUUUCGUUCAUGGCAAAAUUGCUUCAAAACCCCUCCUUUGUAGCGCACUUGAGGGAAAAGAAGGAACAGAGAGAAAUCGGUCCUUCGAGGGUGAGGAGGAAGUUUCUCAAGCAUCACCAGCCAGAGGAUGUUGAAGCAGUUCCCUCCACGGAAGGGCAGAUAGUCAAGUACAGACAUGAUACGGGGACUCUUGAUGCAUCUUCCGGAUUUCCUACUUUGAAUCCUAUUCCUGUCGAAAACCCUAAACAUCUCCCUGAAGUUUCAACUGGCACAGGUUUAGGUGAAGAGAACAUUCCGCUUCAAGUUGAGGAUGUCAUGUCAAGAGAAACAUCGGCGCCGCGUGAUAUAGCAUCUGGACACGGCUAUCUCAAAACUCCGGAUCUUCUCAGAGAGGGGUCAUCAAGCUUGGGAGCUGAUCUUCAAUUCAAGGGGAAGAGUGUCAUUGAGAGCCCAGGGCAAGAGUUCACUCCUCAGUACUUUGUCUCUUUCCCAGAGGAUUUGGCAGAGAGGAAGAAGUUUCCAGAUUUCUCAUCGGGGUUCGAAAGCAUGAUUAAGCAAGAGGAGGUAUGGGGCAUGGGUUUUGACGUGAGUGCUGGUAUGUCUAGUUCUAGCGGUGUGGUAUGGGGUAAUCUUGCUCAAUAUGAUGCACUGGAAGUGGGAGUUACUGGUGGGCUAUCUGAUACAUGGGAUUUAGGAUCAAUGCAAGCUUCUGGGCGUUCAGACAUUGAUAAGUGGCCGGCCGAUGAAUCAACCUAUGACGAGCGUGAGGGUCGAGCUGGCCAGCAUAAAGAUGAUAUACAUAAUAAAAUGGAUCCAUAGGUACCUGAACUUGGAUGGAGAUGGACACUUCCGCAGGAGUUUGGUUGCUUUUUCUGAACCUGGACUGCACGGUAAUGGUUCAUGAACUUGGUUCUGAUGAAGAUGAUCUUUCAAUCUAGACAAAUUUCCUGAUCAGAAUCAUGUGUUACGGCGUAAGUGCAGCUGCAUCAAUGAAGAUCAUACCUAUUUGGUCCACCUUUGAGUAUGGCACUUUGCAGUUUACAUGCCCACCAUUGUUUAGAUGCAUAUUUUUGUGUAGCUCGACAGAGAGCGAAAAAAAGCAGUCUGCAUACUCACUAUAUUCGAUAUAAAUUUAUUUGGACUUACCCUCUUACUGA